CAGUCGAACGGACUCAUAUUGAAACCUAGUGAUUUAUGAGUUAGUGGCGGACGGGUGAGUAACGCGUGGAUAACCUACCGUAUACCGGGGGAUAACACUUAGAAAUAGGUGCUAAUACCGCAUAAGCGCACGGCUCCGCAUGGGGCAGUGUGAAAAACUCCGGUGGUAUACGAUGGAUCCGCGUCUGAUUAGCUAGUUGGCGGGGUAACGGCCCACCAAGGCAGCGAUCAGUAGCCGGCCUGAGAGGGUGGACGGCCACAUUGGGACUGAGACACGGCCCAAACUCCUACGGGAGGCAGCAGUGGGGAAUAUUGCACAAUGGGGGAAACCCUGAUGCAGCGACGCCGCGUGAGUGAAGAAGUAUCUCGGUACGUAAAGCUCUAUCAGCAGGGAAGAAAAUGACGGUACCUGACUAAGAAGCCCCGGCUAACUACGUGCCAGCAGCCGCGGUAAUACGUAGGGGGCAAGCGUUAUCCGGAUUUACUGGGUGUAAAGGGAGCGUAGACGGCAGCACAAGUCUGGAGUGAAAUCCCGGGGCUUAACCCCGGAACUGCUUUGGAAACUGUGCGGCUGGAGUGCAGGAGGGGUAAGCGGAAUUCCUAGUGUAGCGGUGAAAUGCGUAGAUAUUAGGAGGAACACCGGUGGCGAAGGCGGCUUACUGGACUGUAACUGACGUUGAGGCUCGAAAGCGUGGGGAGCAAACAGGAUUAGAUACCCUGGUAGUCCACGCCGUANACGAUGAUUACUAGGUGUCGGGGGANCAAGGUCCUCCGGUGCCGGCGCAAACGCAUU
rnacentral:rRNA from 1 species